rnacentral:lncRNA from 1 species
UAUCUCUUCUUUUUCCAUCAAAACCACCCGUUCCCCUGUUUACUCUUUCAUCAUUUGUUGGCGGCAGCACAGGCCCAGUGGUGACCCUGGGAGUGCAGCCAAGUAGAGCAGGCUUUGCCAUCAGAGCCAAAGAGUUUGUGAUAUAAACAGUUAUGAUCUCACUUCCUGGUCCCUGGCUUUGCCUUUUCCGCUGAGCUGAUGCUUGGAAUGUACCCGGUGCCUGCAAUGUGACUCUUUUUCUUUUUCCCAAGACAGAGUUUCUCUGUCCUGGAGCCCUCUCUGGAGACCAGGCUGGCCUCCAACUCAGAGAUCCUCCUGCCUCUGCCUCUCGAGUUCUGGGACCGCCAUCUGACUGUGACUCUCUCUGUUCUUGGCAGUCAGAAAGUACUUCAGCGUUGCAGCUCACAGAGGAAAUGAGCUAUGCAGAGGGAACUGGGAAGACCAUCGGGAGGAGACCACUGAAGGGGACCCUAGCCUGACAUUUCAGAAAGUAGAUAUCUGUCCCUCCUGACUGGAAUGCCCUCUCAUGCCAUGGAGCACUCUCUUCAGUCCUUGCCCAGGAAGGCUGCUGCGGCUCAAGCCAUCACAUCCACACCCCAGCUGCAGAAGGAGUUAGAGAAGCUGCUCCUGAGGGGCAUGCCUGUGAGACUGUACACACCGCAUCCUCCCACUUACACUUCUUUGGCCAGAAGACAGCUGGACUUUGCGAGGAAGACUAGUCUUUAUUUUGGGAGUCCACAUGUUUGGUUCACAGGACAUAACAUGGUAUUGGAGUCACCACGGAAACCAAGGGUCAUCACUCUGUUCUCAGCUCACAAGGCUUCUUCUUUUUCUGUCUCUCCAUACUAGUUUUUAAACCAAGGUAAGAUUUUUUAUACAGUUGGAUGUGCAGAUUUUAAGACUAUAAUUUGCUGAGUCUGGCCCAGUGUAUCUUCCCACGAUCUCUAUUGAGGCAUAAGACAUUUAUUUCCAUUACCCCAGAAAGUGCCCCCUCCUUGAAAAGCAACUAUGAUGGGAUUGUGGUCACCAUCAGGGGCUUUGGCCAGAUUUUGUCCUUUAUGUAAGCCGAGUCCUCUACAGGGUGUAUUCUCUUGGGUCUAGCUUCUCCCCUCAGCCCACCAGUCUCAAAGUUUAUCCACGAGGGAGAACAGACCAGCAGCUGCUGCCAUGUCCUGUGGCCCACUGCGGUUGACCUGUUCUGUUCCUGGGUUUGUUAGUUAUUUUAUUUCCAGCUUUGGUUAUUCUAACUACAAUUGUUAUAAAUGUGUAUCUAUGUAGUACACAUAUGCACACAUAUAUGUUUUUUUGUAGAUAUUUGCUUUCAUUUCUCUUGGAUAAGUGUAUAAUCACUAGUUUGUAUGGUAGGUAUGCAUUUUACUCUAUAAGAAAUCAUGACAGGAUAAGACAGGGCAAGGGUUCCUCCAUCUUAUACUCUGGUUGACGCCAUUCCAGGUUUAACUAGAAUUUGAUCUCCUUGAAGAGAAGCCCUGUGGGAAAUUACCCAGCUCUACUCUAGGAACCAAAGGGCAAGAGGCCCAAGCUAACUUAUUUCAGCUUCUGUUAAACUGCUUGCUUGUGCAAACUUCCACAUCCAGCUACAGAGUGUGAUGCCAGGAUGUGGUUUCUGUCUUUAAAAUCUCCCUUGUCUAAAUGCUCAGCGCUACACUUGGGUUUCCAAAUACCUGAGUGUAGCCCCAGCUGGCUGGAAUAAAUACUUUCAACCGGCUAUAAAUUGUGUCUGA